CACUGCCUCACCGGGCCCCGCUCUCCCCGCCAUCACUGCCUCACCGGGCCCCGCUCUCCCCGCCAUCACUGCCUCACCGGGCCCCGCUCUCCCCGCUGACCACUACUGCCUCACCGGGCCCCGCUCUCCCCGCUGACCACUACUGCCUCCUGCCGGCAUUACUCCAGCCCACACUCGAUCUGCACUAACGGGAUUCUAUAACUCGACAAAGGCCCGUUGGCAGCUUCUUCCAAAACCAGGAGUAUCAGAAUUGAGAAGUUAAUCGGCAGUAGAUACAUGUUAACACCACCAUUUUCAAGAUCCUUUCAAGUCACUCAUCAUCCUGUCUUCCUAGAAACAUAGAAUUAUAGAAUUGCUGCAGCCAUUCCUACAGCCUUGAGUGCACACCGAUCCUCUGAAGAUUAUCUCACCACCUAAACUAACCCUGUAACCUGCACAUCUUCAGACUGUGGGAGGAAACCCAUGUGCAAACUCCACACAGACAGUUACCCAGGGCUGGAGACAAACCCGGGUCCCUGGCACAACGAGGCGGCAAUGCUAACCAGUGAGUCACCGUGCCGCUCGCUGUAAACGUGUUGCUAUUUUUUCAGUGUCAGUCAAUCAAAAUCCCGCAGCUCACUCCUUAACAACAUUAUGGAUGUAUUUAACAACAGAUGUACCGCAGAGAUUAAGCGGGGGCAGUUUACCACCAUCUUUUCAGAGUAAACUAGGGAUGGGUAGUAAGUGCUGUUCCAACCAGAGACAUUCAUAGAACAUAGAACAGUACAGCACAGUACAGGCCCUUCGGCCCACGAUGUCAUGCCGAACUUUUACCCGAAACCUAAGGUCUAUCUAACCUCCUUAUACCUUAUACUAUCAUCCAUAUGCCUAUCUGAUACUCUAUACCCAUUCACAUCCCAUGCAUGAGGAGAAACAAAUGAUUGUAAUAUUGUAAAGACCGCAUCCUAUUUUACUUUAUUUUUAUUUGUGGACUGAAUUAAGAAGAGGACAGUUUUACAACCAAAGAAUGUAUCUGUGAAUUCUUGAAAGGUGCUACCAUUAAAUUUAGUGAAAAACUGCAGGUUCCUUAUACAUUCAAGGAUAAUGAAUGGGUUGGAUAUGACAAUCGGAAGAGCUAUGAAAUCAAAGUAAAGUGGCUGAAGGAUCAUAAUUUAGGAGGUGCCAUGCUGUGGGCUUUGGACCAGGAUGAUUACGGUGGAAAACAUUGCAAUGAUGGAACUUACCGUUUGACCAAUACAUUGAAAUCUGCCCUUGCCAUUGAUGAUUCUGGAUGUAUGACAUCAUGGUCUUCAGGAUUGUCAUUUACAUCAUCAGCAGAGGAAGUUGAAAUGAAAUCUUGAUACUUCGACAAACCUGCUGGGUUCUAUCCUCACCCAAAAGAUCCUCAAAAAUUUUACAGUUGUGCCAAUGGGAAAAUGCAUGUGAUGUCUUGUCCUCAAACAUUGACAUUUAAUGAUAAAUGUUGUUGUUGUACCUGAAAAUUAACACAAUAUUAAAUGGAUUCAUUUGGAAAAUGGCAUCGGAAGUGAAUGAAAAAUUAAAGCAUGAGAAAUAAAAUUGAAUUUGAUAAUAGGCUCAUUAGCAAUUGUAUUGUCAGAAUUCAAUGUACUAAUGUUGGAUUAUAUCAUAAUUAACCGCAGUUAACUUUCUAACGAAAUAAAUGGAUUGGUGUAGCAAAUGCUUAUUUUCAACGAAAGAUGAUUUAUGAUUAAUAAAACACAGAGAAUUAUACAAAA